rnacentral:rRNA from 1 species
GAUGAACGCUGGCGGCGUGCCUAAUACAUGCAAGUCGAGCGAACAGACGAGGAGCUUGCUCCUUUGACGUUAGCGGCGGACGGGUGAGUAACACGUGGGUAACCUACCUAUAAGACGGGGAUAACUUCGGGAAACCGGAGAUAAUACCGGAUAAUAUUUCGAACCGCAUGGUUCGAUAGUGAAAGAUGGCUUUGCUAUCACUUAUAGAUGGACCUGCGCCGUAUUAGCUAGUUGGUAAGGUAACGGCUUACCAAGGCAACGAUACGUAGCCGACCUGAGAGGGUGAUCGGCCACACUGGAACUGAGACACGGUCCAGACUCCUACGGGAGGCAGCAGUAGGGAAUGUUCCGCAAUGGGCGAAAGCCUGACGGAGCAACGCCGCGUGAGUGAUGAAGGCCUUCGGAUCGUAAAACUCUGUUAUUAGGGAAGAACAAACGUGUAAGUAACUGUGCACGUCUUGACGGUACCUAAUCAGAAAGCCACGGCUAACUACGUG